UCCUACGCCCCUAAGACAAAGACAAAGACACUCACACUCAAAAACGCAAAAAAACAAACAAACAAAAACAGACGGAAAAGGAAACAGAGGCUAGAAAAUGAGAGGAUCUUCUUCUUCAGUUUUUUCCUCUCAAAUCCUCCUCCAUUUUUCUGCCAUAGAGAACCCCUCAACUUUAGCGAAAAGAGCUUUAUUUCCACUCCAAAAAUCAGCUGGUAAACAUCACAAAAUCCAUCGUCGAACAAGGACCGUUUGAGCUUUAGUCGAGUCCCCGUCGACGUCGAGGUUCAAAUUUUUGGUCCGUGUUCACGUUGCUGUUUUGGUUUGGGGAGGGUCAAGUUCGGUCAUUUACAGUCUUGUUUUCGCUGUACUAAAAGCUGUUCAUUAUCAAUACAGUCAAAAGGACCAGUACACCUCUUUUAAGGAUCCCUCAGAAAUAAAAGCAUCAUCCCAAUCAAUGGAACAAGCACCACUGUUGUUGAUCCAAGGUCAUGAAAAGACAAAUAGGCAAGUUGGCGGUGAAAAAUUAAAAAUGGAGGCAAAUGUGGGGUUGACUUUACCAGAUUUGAGCGAUAGAACAUGCCCUGCUCGGGAUGAUUUGAUGAUAGGGAGAUAUGAGAAUUCUUUCAAGUCCUUUGGUAAAUCAGUUUCUUUGAAAUUUCUUAUGCCGUCAGUACUGAAAUCUGACAGCCAAUAUGGGAACGGUUCGGUCAAAAAGUUAAAAUUUGAGUGCUGAAUCAGAAGGAAUAAAGGAUUGAAUGUCGUAGUAGUGCUGAUGUGCAAAUUUGUGGCUAAGAUGUCGCUUAACAACUGAAAAGUCACUCCUCUUUUAGCUAGGGAGGAGUCUUGGUAGUUUAUUUUGUCAUCUUUUCUGUUAUCUAGGUUAUCCAGGGUUGUAACCCAGAUUUCAGUUUGUUUGUGUUGUCGUCAAAUCCUUCCAUCUGUUAUUCAAUGAAAAAUAAUUUGUCCUUUUGUGUUAUUC